rnacentral:tRNA from 1 species
CUUGAUGCUUUGAUUUUAUUGUUAUCAGGCAAGAUCCUGUCACCUUAGGUCGAUCGGUACCUCAGAUUAUUUUCUCUAAUUAUUCAUUUAUCUUGAAAAGUUAGGCUUUUAAUUUUAGUUCCUAAACUUGUCUAGGUCACACCCCACAAGGUUUACUCCUGGGCCAUUAGCUCAGGUGGUUAGAGCGCACCCCUGAUAAGGGUGAGGUCCCUGGUUCAAGUCCAGGAUGGCCCAUUCGGUUUUGGGGGUAUAGCUCAGUUGGUAGAGCGCCUGCUUUGCAAGCAGGAUGUCAGCGGUUCGAGUCCGCUUACCUCCACUGGCCGACCCCUCUUAACGAUUAAGCUUAGAGGUCCUUUGUGUGAUGUGAUUCGGAUAGAUAAUCCGCUGAUUGAACCUAGCUUCCUCUCAUUCCAUGCUUUUUUUUAGCAAGGUUGAAAGGACGCUGGGCUCACUCCAAUCCUCUUCAACUAGGAUUGGAGAUGUGUUCAGUAGAACCUUGACAACUGCAUAGGUGAGUCUGGAAAAAUUAAGCAUCUCAUAGAUGCAUUGUUUUACCUUAUAAAUUUCUUUGAGCUAUUGGCUCGAAAUUUAAAGCAAAACAGUGUUAAUUCUUGAGUAAGAGCCGAGACUCUAUAGU